rnacentral:rRNA from 1 species
CGCCGCGUGAGUGAUGAAGGUCUUCGGAUCGUAAAACUCUGUUAUUAGGGAAGAACAUACGUGUAAGUAACUAUGCACGUCUUGACGGUACCUAAUCAGAAAGCCACGGCUAACUACGUGCCAGCAGCCGCGGUAAUACGUAGGUGGCAAGCGUUAUCCGGAAUUAUUGGGCGUAAAGCGCGCGUAGGCGGUUUUUUAAGUCUGAUGUGAAAGCCCACGGCUCAACCGUGGAGGGUCAUUGGAAACUGGAAAACUUGAGUGCAGAAGAGGAAAGUGGAAUUCCAUGUGUAGCGGUGAAAUGCGCAGAGAUAUGGAGGAACACCAGUGGCGAAGGCGACUUUCUGGUCUGUAACUGACGCUGAUGUGCGAAAGCGUGGGGAUCAAACAGGAUUAGAUACCCUGGUAGUCCACGCCGUAAACGAUGAGUGCUAAGUGUUAGGGGGUUUCCGCCC